AACUAAUGGAACCUGAAAGAACUUUUCCACAUUUAGGAGCUUUUGUACAGCAAGGUCACGUGUCCUGAUCGAAAGAAGACAUGGUAUUACCCAUAUGCAAGGGAAAAAGCUGAAAUGAGGAACUGUCAUUGCGUUAGCUGUCUGUUGAAUUGGGAAGUGAUGGCACAGGGUCUCAAAUUUGUGUUUCUCAAAUGUGAAUUGUAGUCUGAUGCUGCUCUGUGUAGACUGUAUGUGCUAGGGAUAGUCUCAGCACUGAAUAUGCACCGAUACCUCGCAGAUGAACGAGUGAACGAGCGCAGCCUCUGUCCUAGGUUUCCCUACGCCUCACCGAGUGUCUGAGUGCGGAGAACUUGCGUAUCCUGUUUGCUAGCAGACGUACUUCCUGCUCUUUCCUUCGUUGUUACAUAUUUUUAUGUUUGAAGUUUAAUUUUUACUACUGUUAAUUUAAGUAAGAUUUGUUC
rnacentral:lncRNA from 1 species